rnacentral:rRNA from 1 species
GACGAAGGAUGCAAGCGUUAUCCGGAUUCAUUGGGUUUAAAGGGUGCGUAGGCGGACUGGUAAGUCAGUGGUGAGAUCUCUUUGCUUAACAAAGAAACUGCCAUUGAUACUGCUAGUCUAGAGUAUAGAUGACGUUGGCGGAAUAUGACAUGUAGUGGUGAAAUACUUAGAUAUGUCAUAGAACACCGAUUGCGAAGGCAGCUAACGAAACUAUAACUGACGCUGAGGCACGAAAGUGCGGGGAUCAAACAGG